CAAAAAGUAGUUUAUAGAAAAUAAUGGCUUUGGGAGUCUUAGAAAUUAGGUUCUUUUUGA
rnacentral:tRNA from 1 species